CCUACGGGUGACAGCAGUGGGGAAUAUUGCACAAUGGGGGGAACCCUGAUGCAGCGACGCCGCGUGAGUGAAGAAGUAUUUCGGUAUGUAAAGCUCUAUCAGCAGGGAAGAAAAUGACGGUACCUGACUAAGAAGCCCCGGCUAACUACGUGCCAGCAGCCGCGGUAAUACGUAGGGGGCAAGCGUUAACCGGAUUUACUGGGUGUAAAGGGAGCGUAGACGGCAGCACAAGUCUGGCGUGAAAUGCCGGGGCUUAACCCCGGAACUGCUUUGGAAACUGUGCAGCUAGAGUGCAGGAGAGGUAAGUGGAAUUCCUAGUGUAGCGGUGAAAGGCGUAGAUAUUAGGAGGAACACCAGUGGCGAAGGCGGCUUACUGGACUGUAACUGACGUUGAGGCUCGAAAGCGUGGGGAGCAAACAGGAUUAGAUACCCUUGUAGUC
rnacentral:rRNA from 1 species